AAGGAGCUCAUGAAUGGCCUUUUCUAUGCGUUUCAAAUGCUGUGUCUGGGUCUUGAGAACAGAGUCCUCGCUGAAGCACGAAGGGCCUGGCCAUCUUCACCAGAAACAAGAGGCGACUUGCCUCUACUGGGCACCAGCCUUCUCAGGGACACGCCAGUGGUGGCCAGUGAUCUCUUGGGCUCCUCACUCUGAUGUUUGGAGUCAACCUAAGAAGCUGCUGCAAGCCUCUUCGAGACACGAUCCUCAAGUCAGAGUUCCAGCCCUGGUCACAUGCCUUGGGUAAGAAGCCUCGCUGUGACUCAGUUUCCCCAUUUAUGCAGUGGAGAUGUCAGCCAUGCCUACGACCUAACCGCUGGCAUGGAGCCAAGGAGCUCAGAAUACUACCAGACACCCAAGUGCCACGUACAUGGUUUUCUUUUCGGCUCUUUUCUCUGAGACAGAGUCUCACUCAGCAGUUCAGGUUGGCCUCAGACUUAGAGUGAUCCUCCUGCCUCAGACUCCUUACUGCUGCUCACUCCACGGAUAAGUCACCCCACCUGGCAGUGUUUCUGUUAGUGGUGAAUAAAUGAAUGCCACUAUG
rnacentral:lncRNA from 1 species